UACGGGGGGGGCAAGCGUUGUUCGGAAUUACUGGGCGUAAAGGGCUCGUAGGCGGCCAACUAAGUCAGACGUGAAAUCCCUCGGCUUAACCGGGGAACUGCGUCUGAUACUGGAUGGCUUGAGGUUGGGAGAGGGAUGCGGAAUUCCAGGUGUAGCGGUGAAAUGCGUAGAUAUCUGGAGGAACACCGGUGGCGAAGGCGGCAUCCUGGACCAAAUCUGACGCUGAGGAGCGAAAGCCAGGGUAGCAAACGGG
rnacentral:rRNA from 1 species